CACCUUGAUGGAGCGCCGCCCUGCUCCUUAUUGUUCAAAUCGCACUGUCCCUCUUAUGGUCGUGCAUAUCCUUAUUGAAUGUCCUGACUUCCGGGACGAGCGUGUCUUGUUUUCCGACCAUCCCCUGCGGUAGCUUGUCUCGUGUUAUUCUUGGGGACUCUGACCCUUUUGAUAUCGUUCGCCUUGUGCGUUUGUUCUCGUAUUGGCAUCCUUGGUGAUAUUUAGCGCCCUCUGAUUAUGCCGACCUUUUGAUGGUGUUACAUAUCCUACCCGGUUUGGUGCCUUCUUUUGACAAUUACUUACUUGCUGAUGGAUGUUAUUUUUCCCAAGACUUUUGCAGUGAUGUAGCAUUCGGUCCUAAUGUUGGGUAGGGUGUCUUCGGUGGUCCUAUUCUUGGCCAGGGCGUCGGCAGUGGUCCAGCUACCAUAUUCAGCAGUGGCAGGUUGGCCCAGGUGAACGUUCCGCGGGUCGCAGUGGGCAGCACUGGACCUUCUGGAAGUGUUGUCAGACCUGUUGGCGUUCCUCAGGUCAGGAGGGUGGACGAUGUCUUCCACCCCACUGUCACCAAAGUUGUCACCAUCAACUGUUGCGUGACUGUCACCGACCAAGCCUUCAACAGCGUGGCAGUAACACUAACGUCCUUCAGCGUGCAGACUGUCACCGUCGGAACACGCUCGGUGCUACAGACUCCCGUUGAUGACCGGGUCGCUCUCCAGACUUCUGUCCGGCCAACGUCAGUAAUGUUAACGGAAGUGAAGUCUGACUUUAGGAUCGUGACGGAAACGUCACUAAGUUACGUGACCCUCGGCCACACGUCCUACAUAAUCAGCCAGUACACCACUCCGGUCACCCAGGUGUUGACGUACACAGCGACGGUGGUACAACGAAUAUUAAGUGAACUACCUUCACGGACUACCGGACAGUGACGGACACUACAUUAACAGCGGCUACCAUCCUCAAGACUGUUAAUCUUGAUACGAAACUCUUGCAUUGUUGUCAAAUAUAGAGGAAACUUGAGUAAUAGCUAAAUAUUUUUAUUAAACUAAUUUUAGAUUGACAAGUUUUGGUUUAUUGUAGUUAAACUAGUUAAUGAUAGAGGACAGCCCACUACGGGCUCGCCAUAGCCCGUGCUGCCUGGCACUUUUGUUAAGAGUAGCUAAAGCUUAAACAAGAGUUUGUAAAAAUGGAGAACAUGCCUUGGCAAGUUUUAAUAUGCUUUCUCACUCGUAUAGGCUUGGUCUUCUAGAAACCAACAAUUUUUGGUAGCCACUAUGUAUAGCUAAACCAGGCACCGUAGAACUCUUAAAUAGUGCUCUUGAAGGCUGUGAUAAUGUCUACCACAAAUGCUCUGAGCAGUUACAGAAAAAAUGGAAGUGGGACUAAAGUUAAUUUGUCACACUAUGCAGCCCGUCCUCCUAAACAAAGGCUAAAGUCUAUUUCAUGGAGCCCAGUUUAUGAAUGUUAAUAAAAACUAGUUACAAAGACACUAGACUGAUUAUGUAAGCCGUCCUCGGACAAAAU
rnacentral:lncRNA from 1 species